rnacentral:SRP_RNA from 1 species
CCUGGGUGGCAGGGCUGUGACUCACACCUGUAAUCCCAACACUUUGGGAGGCCAAGGCAAGAGGAUCGCUCAAGCCCAGGAGUUCUAGGCUACAGUGUACCAUACCGAUCAGGUAUCUACACUAGGUCUGGCAUCAAUAUGGUAACCUCCCUGGUGCAGGGGACCACUAGGUUGCCUAAGUAACUGAGCAGGUCAAAACUCUUAUGCUGAUCAGUAGUGGGAUCAUGCCUGUGAAUAGCCACUGCUGCACUUCAGCCUGGGCAACAUAGUGAGACCCCCAUCU